CCUACGGGGGGCAGCAGUGAGGAAUAUUGGUCAAUGGGCGGGAGCCUGAACCAGCCAAGUCGCGUGAGGGAAGAAGGUACUGAGUAUUGUACACCUCUUUUGCCAGGGGACAAAGGCGGCCACGGGUGGCCGUAAGAGGGUACCUGGAGAAAAAGUAUCGGCUAACUCCGUGCCAGCCGCCGCGGUAAUACGGAGGAUGCGAGCGUUAUCCGGAUUUAUUGGGUUUAAAGGGUGCGCAGGCGGCGUGUUAAGUCAGCGGUAAAAUGUCGGGGCUCAACCCCGGCCGGCCGUUGAAACUGGCGGGCUCGAGUUGGAGAGAAGUAUGCGGAAUUCGUGGUGUAGCGGUGAAAUGCAGAGAUAGCACGAAGAACCCCGAUUGCGAAGGCAGCAUACCGGCUCCACACUGACGCUGAGGCACGAAAGCGUGGGUAUCGAACAGGAUUAGAUACCCGGGUAGUC
rnacentral:rRNA from 1 species